rnacentral:rRNA from 1 species
UACGAAGGGGCUAGCGUUGCUCGGAAUUACUGGGCGUAAAGCGCACGUAGGCGGAUACUUAAGUUAGGGGUGAAAUCCCGGGGCUCAACCCCGGAACUGCCUUUAAUACUGGGUAUCUCGAGUUCGAGAGAGGUGAGUGGAAUUCCGAGUGAUAGAGGUGAAAUUCGUAGAUAUUCGGAGGAACACCAGUGGGCGAAGGCGGACCUG